rnacentral:rRNA from 1 species
AGGAAGUUUCUAUCAAAUACGACUAGGAAAUAGGCUUAGAAGCGGCCAUUUUUUGAAGACCUCGUAACAGAGCACUGGUUCAGUAAAUAGUUUACUAUUUACAUUGAUAGUGGCACCGAAAAUUUAACGGAUCUAAAUAAUAUACCGACACCUUGUCCAUAUUAAAACAUAAUAUUAUAUAAUAUGGGGUAGCGGAACGUUGGGUAAAUUUUAGACUAUUUCUUAAAAAGAUUUAGGAAUAAAUGACCCAAGUGACAAUGCUGACAUGAGUAACGAAAAAGGGGGUAUAUCCCCCUCGCCUAAAGCUUAUGGAUUUUUUAAAGUAACGGCCUCUAAGUUUAUAAACCUAAAGGAUUAAACGAUGAGAAAAUCUUGUCUACAAAGUAACAACCUUUUAUAAGAAAAAGAGAUUAAGAUGUUUCGUCUUAUUAUCUUUUUCUUAAGUGAAGAAGGUUCUGGAAAAACAGUAAAAACCUUAAAUAGUAAAUAUCUUAAAAAUAUUUAUUAUUAAGGCGACAUAAUAACCGUACCUAGAGUCUACCCCAAGUAAGCAAGUAGAGUAUACGAAGGCGUUUGAGUGAACAAUCAUUAAGGAACUCGGCAAACUAACUACCGUAACUUAGGGAUAAGGAGAGCCAUUCCUCCUGAUUAAUAUCAGGUAAAGAAUAGGAAGCAUGGAAUAGUGUUGUACGACUGUUUAAUUAAAACAAAGCACUCUGCAGUAAGAUAAUAAAUCAAAGUAUUGAGUGUGAUUUCUGCCCGAUGUCGGCUGGUUAACGGAUUUAUUAAGUUGACUAAUAUAAGCUUGACUUUGAAGGAAACCCCGAUCAAUGGCGGCCUUAUUUUGAGGGUCCUAAGGUAGCGGAAUACCCUGGCCGUUAAAUGCGGUCUUGCAUGAAUGAUUUAACGAUACAACAGCUGUCUCAAUGAUUGGCUCAGUGAAAUUGGAAUAACUGUGCAGAUACAGUUUACCUCUAGUUAGACGAGAAGACCCUAUGCAGCUUUACUGUUGCUAGUUAUUGAAUGUGAUUUAAUUAAUUUUAGUAAUAUAAGGUAAUUGGUUAGAUAUUAUUGGAAGACCUUUAUUUUAUUCGUCAUAUUGAUAGAUUUAUUCUAUUUUCUUAUCUAAAGAUAGGAAAUUACCCCUACUAUGUUAGGGAAACAAUGGCUAGGAGGCAGUUUAUGCGGGGCACAGAUCCCAUAAAAAGUACCUGGGUGUAUCCAAAGUUAAUUUUGUAAAAUUGACAUGACUUACUUCUAAGUAUACUAUUUGGAAAUAAGUUUUCAUGACUAACAAUACAUUAUAUAUUUAAUGUAUUUAUUUUUAGUUUGUUAUUUGGUGUAGCUUAUGCUAUAACUAAUCCAGCUAUUUAUCUAUUAAGUUAGAAAUAUUUUUUUAUCCUAGUAAGAUUUUAUCUAUAUGGAAAAUAGAUGUUACUAAAUAGUAUUAUUAUCCUUUUAAAUUAUUCUUCAUAAUUCUCGCGUUGCAUUUACUAUAUAAAAAGAAAUGAAGAAAUAGUCUGAACCAUCUUGUGAAAGAUGGAAAUAAAGGAUAAAUAACCUUUAUGAUAACAAAUUUUGAACAGGCUAAUUGCGCCAGGAAGUACAAAUUGAGUGCGCAGUUUGGCACCUCGAUGUCGGCUUAACUUAUCCACAUGAAUGCAGUAAUCAUGAAGGGUUCGACUGUUCGUCGAUUAAUAAGUUACACGAGCUGGGUUAAAUACGUCGUGAGACAGUAUGGUUUCUAUCUUCUAGAGGAAAUUAGAAUAAAAUAAGGAUAGCCCCCUCGUACGAAAGGAGCUGGGUAUAUUAACCUAUGGUUUACCUGUUGUUUAUGUGCCCAAUAUUAAUAAAAGUAUAAUUAAGUUUAUACAGGGAUGUUACUUUCACUUAAGUAAA